CGGCUCAGAUUGAACGCUGGCGGCAGGCCUAACACAUGCAAGUCGAGCGGAUGACGGGAGCUUGCUCCUUGAUUCAGCGGCGGACGGGUGAGUAAUGCCUAGGAAUCUGCCUGGUAGUGGGGGACAACGUUUCGAAAGGAACGCUAAUACCGCAUACGUCCUACGGGAGAAAGCAGGGGACCUUCGGGCCUUGCGCUAUCAGAUGAGCCUAGGUCGGAUUAGCUAGUUGGUGGGGUAAUGGCUCACCAAGGCGACGAUCCGUAACUGGUCUGAGAGGAUGAUCAGUCACACUGGAACUGAGACACGGUCCAGACUCCUACGGGAGGCAGCAGUGGGGAAUAUUGGACAAUGGGCGAAAGCCUGAUCCAGCCAUGCCGCGUGUGUGAAGAAGGUCUUCGGAUUAAUAAAGCACUUUAAGUUGGGAGGAAGGGCAGAUAAGUAUAAUAUCC
rnacentral:rRNA from 1 species